CCAGGCUAUGUUGCAGGAGGAGCUGUGCUCACAGGUACAAAGCCUUCCUUGCCCUAGGAGGAGGCUUCAAAGGUGGCAAAAGAGCAGUAUGUAGGCCUCCCGUGCGAGCCAGAGCUGAGCUGGGUUAUUGCCAACGUUCUUGCUUUUGUGCAGUGGCUGCAGGACAAAGAGCCAUUCAUCACGCUCCAAAGUGCGGCAAAGGGCUCCCGCGUUCCGCCGCAGAAGUGCCUGCGCUUGAAUCCAAGCGAGAAAGUUUUCUCCCCCUUGCUCAAGGCUGCUCCAGAGAGUAAUGGAGCUUGGCACUACUUUAGGAUCCUUUUGGGUGAGAUACGGGGGCAAGAGCCCUGUCACGCGCCGCUCAGCCUCCAUCAAAUCUGGAGGGGAACUUCCGCAGUGGACUACAGCUUUCAGCAGAAGCAACUGAGCAGCCAAGUAACAGCGUUGCUGCCUUAUGCCGCUGGAGAGGACAGCAGCCCAGCUCCUCCAGUCCUGCACUAGCAGCUUUUGGGAAGUCCACCAGGGACACCUGCCAGUAACACAGCACUGCUAAAAGAUGCAGUCCACCUGAUGGCUCUUACCCCAACCUGCGCAGAGGUCAGCAGCUGGGACUGAGCCUGUCUUCCCUGGCUCCACGAGAGGCUUGGAGUUGGCAACCCUCAGAUCUCAGAAAGGAACAAUUGGAUGAGAUCACCCCCCACAAGAAGCUCUCAUCUCACUGUAACUACCUUUCAUUUAUUCUUUUAAAAAUACGCAUUUUUAGGCAGGCCUGGCCGCAGGCCCAGCCCUGCUCGCCAGCUGCUGGCCACAGCACACCUCGCUCAGGUCACAGGGAAAACAGAAAGGGGCUUGGGAAGACCUUGCCCUCUGGAGUGACGCCUUCGCAUGUAGGUCUGAACGGCAGUCUUGGUGGCCCUGGGACCUGUGCUUGCUUCCCCUGACCUGUCUGGGCAGGUGGGGGACAAUCAGGUGUGGGAAGUGGCACUGCUAGCCCACCCUGUGACGUGUCUGAGGUCAUGCUUGUGGGACCAUGUGGGUCAAGGAAGAAACAGCAUCAUGAGAUGCCAGUGGUUGGAGUUGCAGCUAAGCAUCUCCCUGGGGGUUACGCAGAAAGGGGACCCUU